CUUUGAUUAUCAACAUGUUAGCUCAGAUAUAUAUUCUGUUAAGUUGAUUUCUAAAUGGUUAUACAAGUGUCCCCACUUGGAUAAUCAUGGCAUUUAUUCACAUGUUGAUAUACCUUUGUCAAUUACCCGUAUACAUAUAUGUUGAAUUACAUAUUAUUGUUGAGCAAGAUUAAAAACCUUCGGGUUUGGAACCAGGCAUGUAUGAACAUCCCGAUAAUGGGAAAAUUUUUAUGCGCUUCGGCGGACAAAGGGUGAGCGAUGAAUUUCGUUCAAGUUAUGUAGUAUUGAUCAAUACAGGGUACAACGGGGCUGAUCACCCUCCGUGCCCGUAAGUUAUGACGGUUUGCGGAUGAAUUUCUGCUAAACCUUUUCGAAAAUGAAAAACAAUGUUCAUAGUAUGUUUCUUAAACCCUAUUCAUGGGUAGAGCCAGAGCCAAAUUUAAAUAAUUUGGAAGAGAGUUGUUAUGUGAAUUUUUUUUAUCAGUACAGAUUACUUCACAACUUUCGAUUCGUUGUAGAAGUGUUAUAUAAAGAGAAUACUUAUAUUUUUUCAGCUUAUAUAUAUAAUUGCUAUUACUUGCUGGGCACUCAAAUGCUCAUCCUUGCUUAAACUAAAUGUUUUCAGUUACGUACGACCGACCUGAAGGCUCAGGCACGAACAAGGGAAAAGAAAAGUUGUUCGAAUGAGAUUUAGUAUGAGUUAAUGGUUAUAGUUAGUAAGACAAUGGAAUCUAUUGUCAGGUAUUGUAAGGAAUGUAUUUGAAGGUCACGUACCUGGGGAAGUAAACUUUGAUGUAUGUAAAUUAAGUUCGAAUGUAUUAUUAUUUAGUAUUAUUCAGCUUAAAGAAAUGGUAUCGUGGAGAACCGAGUUCGGGUUUCAAGUACCUGGAUUUGGGGUCGCCACAGGUUGGUAUCAAAGCUGUAGGUUAUAAACGUUAGGAAUGCGAAACCUAGGUAAUAACCUUAGUAGAAUGGAGAACGAAAGUUAAGAUAGAUAUUAAGUGAACCAGGAGAUGAAGUACUCUGGUGAGAAGUUAUAGGAUAUGAUGAGUUGAAGAGAUUCAUCGAGUUUUAGUGGUACUAAAAAAAAUAUUACUUCAUUUUAAUUAUGAAUAUAUUUUAUUUCAGUAAUGAUGUUGUUUCGUUCAUUGUGGUCAUAUGAUGGAUGACGAAAGUCAAGAUGGUAAUUCCUUGACUCAAGAGACGAUGGACUCUAGCGAGGAGUACAUGGACAGUGAGAUGAUAAAAGAUUUGUUAGUUAGAAAUGACGACUUAAAGGUUAGAGCUGAGCAGGCAGAGGCACAGAAUUGUACUCUCCAGAUUUCAGAACAGCAGUACAAGGACGCUGCUCACCGAACACAGAUGGAGUUAGCCGAGCUACGAGAGAGGUUGGAGCAGAGGGAGAUACAGAUAGGACAGUUGAAGGUUGAGGUAGAAGCCAAAGACACAAGGAUAUAUACCUUGGAGCAGGCUUUAGACAUCGCCUUUAUGCGAUUCAAUGCAGAGUGGAUGGAGCUGCCUUUCGGCAGAGAAAGAUAGGCGUUGAUGAGAAUUGAAUAAUUCAUCGACAAACAAAAUAAGAGACAACGUGUAUAGAACUAUUGAUGGCUGUAUAUACUAUAUGCUAAUCAGGAUAAUUAUGUAUGUAGAUGUCUGGUGGAUUAGAUAUGUGGAAUAAGAAGGAUCAGAUCCAUACCCCGAGCUAAUAUCGAGGCCAAUAGAGGGAAUAGAAGCUCAAAAGGAGAGAAUGACAGAUAAUAAUUCAGACACUAACGUUGAAGCUGAUCAAGCAUCAAUGAAAGUGCAGGAUCUGGAGAACAAGGUUUCUUCACUAGAAAGGUUGUGGGAGAAAGAAAAGUUGCUACGUCAGCAUUAAUAGAAACAAUGGAAGAACAGGAUAAGCUUAAGAUCCAAAUUGAUCAGAUGGGAGCCUCAAGCAACACUUCGUGUGCAGCUUCGAGAGAUAAGGGAAAAAAAAGAAAAAUGGAAGACUGUGACUUAGAAAGACCCAGUAAGGAGAGAAGGAGAAUGAAUGAUUGUGAUCCUAAUAUUAACCAAGGAAAAAGUAACCGAAUAAAAAGGUGUGUAAAAUGUAACAAGAAGCAUGAAGGUGUGUGCAGAAAAGGGGCAAAUAUUUGCUAUAAUUUCGGACAUAAGGGACAUUUCUCUCCUCAUUGUCCCAAUCCGAGGCAGUAUAUCUGUUUUAUCUGUGGAAUGAAAGGUCAUGGAACGAAGAGUUGUCCAAGGAAAAAUCUUAGGAUAUGUUGAGUAGGUAUGUUUAAUAUGAUAUGUGUGAAACGUAUGUUGUGUAACGAAAUAUUUUCAACUUUUAUGUUGGUCAAGAUUUUAAAUCCCGACUGUUGUAGUCACAAAGGGAUAGCUGAUGUUUAAAGUAAUAUGUGCUAUGGUAUGUUAAGUUCUAUUAAUGUGAGGUGCUAUGGUUGGAAGUACCAUGAGUGUCACAAGUUGGAUUAAUGAAGUAAGUUGUUAUAAAGGUAGCAGAUAUUUAUCUGAAUAUUGGUUAAUAUAGUAAACCAAGUUUCAAAUCCAAUAUUUUGAAUACAUGACUAUUUGAGUAGAAAAUUUUGUGUUAUAUGUCGAACGUGUACAAUGAGGCUUAGAAUGUAAGGAAAUGAAGAAUAGUUUAUGAUUAUGCCACCGAGACGAAAACAAAAACCAGCCGUGGAAGAUCAACCAGAUAAUCGAACGACGAACGCCAAAGACUUUAAGGCAAUCCUAUUGCUAGGGUAUAGAGGAUUAAGUGACUCAGUAGAAGCGUUUAUGAUAGUUAGGAUAACGAAAAGGGCAAAAGAUAACUUUUAUCACCUACACGAUAAAAGGGAAAUGAGAUAAAGAAAAAGUUUGUGUGCUUUGUGUGAGGGCAGAAGAGACAUAUCUCCAAUUGUCUCAAUUCAAUGAUGUAUAGCGAACGUUUUAUUUGUGAAUCAAUGGAGUAUAAGGUGAAAGAUUAUUAAAGAAGGAGAAGUGAGAUAAGGAAUGCGAAUACGAGCAAUGACAGCAAGAUAUAGGCGACAACGAAAUAAACCGUAAGUGUCUUCAUUAUGGUCGUUCAAGAUAUCGUAGCAGUUGAGGAUACUGUGGCAGUUAGAAAUGGAACUCCAGGUUCUAUUCGAAUAACUUAAAUAUUUUAUAUGAUUUUCCUGUAUAAAAUAUAGCUAUAUAGAUAGUAAAAUAUUUCAUAAAGAAAUUUUGAAGGAGGAAUUUUGGUUCUCUUAAUCAAAAUUCUGUUUAUCAGAAAGACAAGCGUUAUGGAGAAUAGUUAAAGAUCAGUUCGAUCAAGCAUUGAUCGUGGUCUAUGUGCAAGGAUUAUAUGCGUUAUGUACUCUUCUAUGUAUGAGUUUUAAAGCGGUGAUUCCGGGGACGGAAUCCUUAUAAGGGAGGGUGAAUGUGACAACCCGAGAUCUCCUAUAUAAAAUAAAUAAGAAAUUUUGCGUAUAAUUUUUUUUUUUAAUGACGAGACUAAGUGUCUAGUAAUGUGAACGAUAAAUGCGAAUAUAUUUAUUUCUUUAAAAAUUAAAAAUAAUUUUGGAAUAAUCAAUUACCACAAAUUAUAUUGUUAUGGUAAUUAAUUUCUAUAAGUAGAAAUGUUUUAUUAAUUAUUUUCCAUGAAAACAUGAUUGGAAAUAAUAUAUGAAUUGAUAAUUGGAAUUAUAUAAUAAAUAUUUUAUUAUAUGAUUUGUUCAGAAUAAUUAAGUUAACUAUUUUAACUUGAUUACUGAUGUUGUGUAAGAAAGAGAAGUCAGAUAUGAGAUCCAAACCCUGAAUUGGGAUUGUGAUCAACAGAUGAGAAUAGUAAUAUUAUAUUAUUGAUAUAAUGAUUUUACGGUACCAUAAUUAUGUACUGUGUAUGUGCAGACAUAUAAUAUUGAGCAAUGACAGUCAAUUAGGUCAUAACAUAUUACCGUGCUGUGAAACCCUAAUUAUUAAACUCAGUUAUGAGAUAUAAAUGAGCAGUGACUGUGUAUAUGAAGUUAUUGUGUAUAAGAAUGUCGAUAAUUAGAAGGAAACCCUAAUUACUGUUGUACGUUGAUAAUUAGGACAAACCCUAAUUAUUAUAACCCUAACCGGUUGAAAUUAGAAACCGUAACGACUGUGUUAGUAACAUACACAGAUAAUUAAAGAACCACUAAUGGUCAAUUAGAAACCCUAAUUGAUGACGUUGAGAAACCCUAAUUUUAAUUACCGGGUUUAAUUUCGAUGUUAUUGUAUAAGUGUUUUAAUUUACCAAAGGAUAGAAGUUAAUUGGUAAAUUAUAAGAAUUAAAUCUAGUGAUUAAAUAUUACAUUUAAUUGCCUUGUACAAGAUUGCCCAUACACUCUUAAACAAAGCCCAACCAUCACCCAUAACAAAUCAGAAGCAAGAAUCAAGAAUUUUUGGCAAAAAGGGUAUAAGAACACUAAACCUAGAAAUCCUUUGAUUCGAUGUUAUUUGAUGCAAUUGAUUGUUUAAAGUUGUGUAAUAGAAUGUUAAUUGAUGAUAUGGGUUGAUAAAUCAAAGACCCAUAACAUCAAAGUGCACGAAUUUGAAGAUUUAAGCAAGUUGGAAAAACCGAAUUCUUUUUUUUUUUCACCAAAUGUCAGAGGCCAUAACUCUUUGCUCGAUCAUGAGUUUUGUUCUUCAAAAGUUGUUAUGUGUAGCCUGAUAUGUGGUCUUUAAUCUGCAAAAAGAAUCAAGUCCAUAUCAUGUAUAGAUUAGAAGUUAUAGAUGGUCAAACAUGGUUGACCGAUCAUGAUAAACUGUUUUUGGGCAGUCUGUAAUGGGGGCAUUCUCGUCCACUUUUUGUGCUUUAAAAGGUCUGGGCUUUUGAUAUGUUGUAGUGCACUGAGUUAGGAAGCCAUAGGCUUUGGAAUGACCUCAUUCCGACCUCGGAUGAGGGAAUUACGGUGAUUGGAAGGAAAUGUGUCAAAUUUCUCAAAACUGAAAGUCAGCAGCGGGAUGUGCUAUUCGGGACACUGUUUCGAUCAGUUAAUGUUUCCAAAACCUUCUGGGCUUUUGGUAUGUUAUAGUACACCGAAUAAGCUUUCCAUAGACUCCGAAACGGACUAAAUCCGAUAUCGGAGGAGAGAGUUAUGACAUUUCAAAGUAGUAGUGUCAAAACUUCCCAACAAGUGCGGUGCAGUCCAUUUGAACGGAAUUUCUGGGCUGAUGUGUUCGGAAUUUGGAAAUGGUCAAAGAAUAAAAGUUGUAGCCCCAGAAGUUAGCUUCGCGUGGGCUCAAGAAUCGCUCAAAAAUGUUUUAAAAUGAAAGAGUUAUGACUGUUUUAGCGAAAGAGGGUAAAGCUGAAACGAGAUUGAAAACUGUUAUGAACGUCCACUUUUGACGCACUGUUUGGGCUACCUAAUGAACCCGAAUUGGGUAAUUCGUAUUUUUUAAAAAUAGUCUUACAUACCAUGUAUAACAUAUCCAAAAAUCAGAUUAAUCGGAGUUAUGAGCAAUGCGUUAGAAAAUCGCAAAGUGAGCUAUUGAAAAAUUAGUAUAAACCAAGUCCCACAUCGACUAAAUUGAGAACUUCACCAUUUUCUAAACCUAUAAAUAGAAGGGCUUGGCCUUUGUUUCAUUCACCAACAAUAAGGCCUCCAAUUUUUGAGAAAGGCUUUGUUGUGGGAGAACUUUUUAUAAAGAUCUCCUUAGUUAAAUUUUGGCGUGGAAGUGCGUAUUCAGUCUGUGGAAUUCGUAUUUCCGGGUAUGUUUCUUAUUUAAUUUUUGUAAUGUUAUUAUUUUUAAUUGUUAGUUAAAGUUUGAAUUUUUGAAGUUUAGUUAGUGUUGUUAAUAAACUAGUUAGUUUACUAUGUUUAUUUUGGCUUGGAAUUGAUUAUGUAAAUGAGUUAUUUGUGAUGACUUUUAAUAUUUUGUGAUGAAUUUCAUUAAUUAAUAAUUAUUAAUGAUAUUAAAGUUAUUUAAUGAUUAUAUUAAAUAAUUUAGUUUAAAAAUGAUUUUAAUAUUAUAAAAAUCAUUUUAAAUGAAAAUAAGGUAUUUAAAAAUAUUUUAAGUUAUAAAAUAUAACUUUUAAUAUUUAAAUGAUAAUUUCAUUAAUAAUUAAAUAUUAAUGAUAUUAAGAUAAUAUUAAUGAUAUUUAGUUUAUUUAAUGAUUAAUAUUAAAUAAAUAGUUUAAAAAUGGUUUUACUUAUUUAAAAACCAUUUAAAGAGGAUAUUAAGGAUUUAAAAAUAUUUUAAGUUAUAAUUAAUGACUUUUAAUAUUUGGAUAAAUAGUACAUUAAUAUUUAAAUAUUAAUGGUAAUUAUUUGGGUAAUAUAAAUGUUUUAAAAAUAGUUUGAGUUAUUAUAAAUAACUUUUAUAUUUUGGCAAUGGUUUCAUUAAUAGUUUAGUAUUAAUUAAACUAUUAAUGAUAAUGGAAUUGUUUAAUGUUUAAAUCAUUUAAUUAUGAUUCCGAUAUUUGAAAGUUAUAGCCGGCCAAACUAGCUGACUUGAGAACCGAUUAUGAAGUUCUGAAUUUGAAGAAGAACACCUAUAGUAACAGUUAUAUCACUAUAGGCCCUUUAGUGACAGAUUUGAAUUAUUUUAAAUUUUUCAAUUUCUGGAAAUUGCGAAAAUGAUUAAAAAUAAGAUGUCUGAUAUUUACAGAUGUUGAGGUAUAGAAUAAGAGUCUUAGACUCAGUAUUUACCCGAUAAAGCUGUCGGUACGCCGACAAAUGUCAGACCUUAUAAAAGAAAGAAAAGACUACUGUAAGAGCAUGGAUGAGAUAUUUGAAAAAUGUAUAAAAAUAUUUCAAGUAUAGAAUAGGAACUAAAAGUAUGAUCACUGUGAUUAUGUGAUUAGACUAUGUGCUGACUGUAAUAGACAGUACUAUGUGUUAAGAUAUAUUGUUCUAAUCGAACGAAUGAUCUGAUUAUUGAUAGGUUGUGAUAAAGAGAUAAAACCUAAGUUGAGAUUUGUAAUCAGCGAAUCAGGCAAGUAUCCUACCUUUGCAUUUUCUUUAUGCAAUGGACAUGAGUAAGAAGUUUCAGAAUUAUUCUAUUCCUGUACAGAUUAUGUACGCUUUGAUUAUCAACAUGUUAGCUCAGAUAUAUAUUCUGUUAAGUUGAUUUCUAAAUGGUUAUACAAGUGUCCCCACUUGGAUAAUCAUGGCAUUUAUUCACAUGUUGAUAUACCUUUGUCAAUUACCCGUAUAUAUAUAUGUUGAAUUACAUAUUAUUGUUGAGCAAGAUUAAAAACCUUCGGGUUUGGAACCAGGCAUGUAUGAACAUCCCUAUAUGGGAAGAUUUUUGCGCAAGGCGGAUAGAGUGAGCGAUGAAUUUCGUUCAAGUUAUGUAGUAUUGAUCAAUACAGGGUACAACGGGGCUGAUCACCCUCCGUGCCCGUAAGUUAUGACGGUUUGAGGAUAGAAUUCCGCUAAACCUUUUCGAAAAUGAAAAGAAUGUUCAUAGUAUGUUUCUUAAACCCUAUUCAAGGGUAGAGCCAGAGCCAAAUUUAAAGAAUUUGAAAGAGAGUUGUUAUGUGAAUUUUUUAUCAGUACAGAUUACUUCACAACUUUCGAUUCGUUGUAGAAGUGUUAUGUAAAGAGAAUACUUAUAUUCUUUCAGCUUAUAUAUAUAAUUGCUAUUACUUGCUGGGCACUCAAAUGCUCAUCCUUGCAUAAACUAAAUGUUUUCAGUUACGUACGAUCGACCUGAAGGCUCAGGCACGAAUAAGGGAAAAGAAAAGUUGUUCGAAUGAGAUUUAAUAUGAGUUAAUGGUUAUAGUUAGUAAGACAAUGGAAUCUAUUGUCAGGUAUUGUAAGGAAUGUAUUUGAAGGUCACGUACCUGGGGAAGUAAACUUUGAUGUAUGUAAAUUAAGUUCGAAUGUAUUAUUAUUUAGUAUUAUUCAGCUUAAAGAAAUGGUAUCGUGGAGAACCGAGUUCGGGUUUCAAGUACCUGGAUUUGGGGUCG
rnacentral:lncRNA from 1 species